GGUUGCCAUGGGGACCUUGGAUGCAUAACUAUAGCAGGAGAAAGAAGGCUUGAAGCUAAGGAAACAGGGCUCCAAGUAGGCCCUGACGCUCAUCCUCUGUAUCUAUUCCUGAUAAGGAGCUUGUGAGAACACAAGACUCUGCUAAACACAUUAAUACAAUUUAUUAUCACAAUCCUCAAAACACCCCAUAAUAUCUUCAAUGAGCUGAAUUUUAGAAGCCCAGAAUGGUUUCUGUAGCUCAAAGUUUGUGGGUGGAGAUAGGUGGCGAAGCAGACACAUAUUAACUGUGUGUACAAGCAGCUGAACUGCAAGGUAGACCUCAUAAAGCAACAAGUACAAGAAUGUGUGUGUGUGUGUGUGUGUGUCUCGUUAAUGACUGCAUCCUAAACAGCUGUAAGAUCAAAGCCAUGAACUGACCUAUUGUUUGAAUGGAGAAGCUGCUGAACUGCAGUGAAUUUAGGGUUCUGAACUUCUUCACAUAGCACGAUUUCCUUAAGUCCCAGAAUGAAAAUAAGAACAUCGUACAAAUCCUCCGCCCUUCAUGAACACAAUGAUGUGUUUUUCAUGUCUGUACUCCGAAAAAUGUCGCCACAACAGCGAGUUAAAAAAGUCUGAGCCUGAGUGGCGAUAAGGAUUUUCUUGGAGAAAAAAUACAUUAGAGCCAAUGGGGAGAGAUUUCCACCUAUUUGGACAGUUGGUCACCUGCUGGCCAAGGGGUAAGAUUUAAUGAUUUGAAACCUCUUUUGUGAGAAGCAGGACACAUAUACCUCCAUUUUGAUGUAUUUUUUAUGGCUGUGGAGUGAGAUUUGUGGGCGUGGGAGCGAUAUAUUCGAGCGAGGUUCUGUCGAUCAGAGAGGAGGUCUGCACUCUAGCUUUUCAAAUCAUCACUCUAGCCUCUCCAAUACACCCCUAUUAUAAAGCCUGAAAUUAGCUGAAAACCACAAGUUGCAUAAAGCUAAAUUGUGGAAAAACUGUAAAAGAUAGCACAAAAAGGUUAAUACAACAUCAAUAGUCGACAAGACAAUGAACAUUUUAAAGCAAAAAUGAGGUCUCUAGGUGAAAGUAUGCUGAAGUUAUAAGGCUUAGAAGGUGCACGAAUAACAGGAAGAAUUGGAAGAUUUCCCCAUUCAUUUCUAUGGGAAAAAAGUUUGGAACAAAAAGUGAAAAAUAAUAAAAAGUACAGAGGAUAGAAAGGAAAAAAAUACAAGCACACAUGUCCUGAUGGAGUGGAAUAGUUUAAAGUUUGAACGGUUGAAAUCGGACAAAGUUUGAAGGAGGAGAAGCGGUCCAAAGAAACGUAUGGGGAGAGUGUUAAGUAUAAUACUAGAAAAAUUGCAUUUCCUUUCAGAAAAUGCGUGGAAAUGCUGAGUGCUGAAAGCUGAAAAAGCAAUGCUAAACUGCUAAUAAAACAUGGAGAAAGGUAUAAAUGUUAAAGCUGUUGAAGGGGUGAAAAAGAAAUAUAAGUUGGAUAAUGGUCUAAUUGGUUGAAGGACAAAUAGUAUGAAUAUGCUCUAUAAAUGGAAGUUUUAUUCAUGCUGAAAGAGGCUAGAAAAAUGUCUACAAUUGCACAAAGUUUGAAUGAAGAAGGAAACUGCCUUAAAAGGCAGGAAGGUGAGAAGUGGCAUAAGUUUAAGUUGUAGUACUAGAAGUAGUAUAAUAGGUCAAGUCGUGAUACUAGUAGUCAUGUCAGCAGUAGAAGUAGUUUGAGAAUAAAAGAAGUAUAAGUCACAAUAGUAGAGAAAGUAGAAAUAGGAGCAAUAGUAGUUGAAGUAGAGGGGAUAGUACUAGUUUAAUUGACAUUAGCGGUAGUUGUCGUACUUGAGGUAGGAUUUUGUUUGAAGGAUGGAGUAAUGCAUAAAUAUUAAAACUUAUUUCAAACAGGGAAAAUUGAAAUAAUUAAAAAUCCUCAAGAAUCAGAAAGUUUUUAAGUAUUAGAAAGGUUUGAAUCAGUUUGAAUGAGUUUCAACUAGUUUGAAAAAUAAAUGAUAAAUCAUCACUGAGUGACUUUAAAAUGUGAAAAAUUUAAAUGAAUAUAAAUCCUAAAUACACCCCAUAAUGUCCUCAAUGAGCUUAAAUUUUAAAGCCCUGAAUGGUUUCUGUAGGUCAAAGGUCAUGUGAGGAGAUAGGGGCUGAAGUUUUUUCAA
rnacentral:lncRNA from 1 species